UACAGAGGGUGCGAGCGUUAAUCGGAAUUACUGGGCGUAAAGCGUGUGUAGGCGGUCUCAUAAGUCGGAUGUGAAAGCCCCGGGCUCAACCCGGGAAGUGCAUUCGAAACUGCGAGGCUAGAGUAUCGGAGAGGUUGGUGGAAUUCUCGGUGUAGAGGUGAAAUUCGUAGAUAUCGAGAGGAACACCGGUGGCGAAGGCGGCCAACUGGACGAAUACUGACGCUGAGACACGAAAGCGUGGGGAGCAAACAGG
rnacentral:rRNA from 1 species